AGGUUCCUGCCGGUGAGGACAAGGUUCCUGGCUGUGAGGACAAGGUUCCUGGCGGUGAGGACAAGGUUCCUGGUGGUGUGGACAAGGUUUCUGCCGGUAAGGACAAGGUUCCUGGCGGUGAGGACAAGGUUCCUGCCGGUGAGGACAAGGUUCCUGGCUGUGAGGACAAGGUUCCUGGCGGUGAGGACAAGGUUUCUGUCGGUGAGGACAAGGUUCCUGUCGGUGAGGACAAGGUUCCUGUCGGUGAGGACAAGGUUCGUGGCGGUGAGGACAAGGUUCCUGGCGGUGAGGACAAGGUUCCUGGCGGUGAGGACAAGGUUUCUGUCAGUGAGGACAAGGUUCCUGUCGGUGAGGACAAGGUUCCUGCCGGUGAGGACAAGGUUCCUGCCGGUGAGGACAAG